GAACCGUACGAACGUUAUUCGGGAAUCACUGGGGCUUAAAGGGUGCGUAGGCGGCCUGGCAAGUUGGGUGUGAAAUCCCUCGGGCUCAACCGAGGGAAUUGCGCUCAAAACUGCCAGGCUUGAGGAAGACAGAGGUGAGCGGAACUCAGGGUGGAGCGGUGAAAUGCGUUGAUAUCCUGGGGAACACCAGUAGCGAAGGCGGCUCACUGGGUCUUUUCUGACGCUCAGGCACGAAAGCUAGGGGAGCGAACGGGAUUAGAUACCCCGGUAGUCCUAGCUGUAAACGAUGAGCACUGGGUUGGAGGGUCCUCCAUAGCCUUCCAGCCGUAGCGAAAGUGUUAAGUGCUCCGCCUGGGGAGUAUGGUCGCAAAGGCUG
rnacentral:rRNA from 1 species